rnacentral:rRNA from 1 species
GACGAACGCUGGCGGCGUGCUUAACACAUGCAAGUCGAACGGAAAGGCCCUGCUUUUGUGGGGUGCUCGAGUGGCGAACGGGUGAGUAACACGUGAGUAACCUGCCCUUGACUUUGGGAUAUCUUCAGGAAACUGGGGCUAAUACCGGAUAGGAGCUCCUGCUGCAUGGUGGGGGUUGGAAAGUGUCGGCUGUUGGGGAUGGAUUCGCGGCUUAUCAGCUUGUUGGUGGGGUAGUGGCUUACCAAGGCUGUGACGGGUAGGCGGCAUGGGAGCGUUGCCGGCCACAAUGGGCCUGAGGGACGGAGCAGUCGCCUACGGGCGGCAGCAGUGGGGAGCAUUGCAGAACGGGCGGAAGCCAGUGGCAGCAACCCUCGGAUCGGGAUGCCCGCUUACUAGUUGUAAACAGAUGUCGACUGAGCUGAACACGGCUUGACGGUAACGGGUCAAGAAGCCCCGGCUAACUACGUG